UACGGGGGGGGCAAGCGUUGUUCGGAAUUACUGGGCGUAAAGGGUUCGUAGGUGGCGUGCUAAGUCAGACGUGAAAUCCCUCAGCUUAACUGGGGAACUGCGUCUGAGAAUGGCAGGCUCGAGUGCAGGAGAGGAACGCGGAAUUCCAGAUGUAGCGGUGAAAUGCGUAGAUAUCUGGAGGAACACCGGUGGCGAAGGCGGCGUUCUGGACUGCAACUGACACUGAUGAACGAAAGCCAGGGGAGCAAACGGG
rnacentral:rRNA from 1 species